UACAGAGGUCUCAAGCGUUGUUCGGAUUCAUUGGGCGUAAAGGGUGCGUAGGCGGCGCGGUAAGUCGGGUGUGAAAUCUCGGAGCUUAACUCCGAAACUGCAUUUGAUACUGCGGUGCUUGAGGACUGGAGAGGAGACUGGAAUUUAUGGUGUAGCAGUGAAAUGCGUAGAUAUCAUAAGGAAGACCAGUGGCGAAGGCGGGUCUCUGGACAGUUCCUGACACUGAGACACGAAGGCCAGGGGAGCAAACGGG
rnacentral:rRNA from 1 species